UAAUACAUGCAAGUCGAACGCACCCUUCGGGGUGAGUGGCGCACGGCUGAGUAACACGUGGGAAUCUGUCGUCGAGUGGGGGAUAACGCACCGAAAGGUACGCUAAUCCCGCAUACGUUCCGUAAGGAAGAAAGGCGCAAGUCGCUGGACGAGGAGCCUGCGGCCCAUCAGGUAGUUGGAGGGGUAACGGCCCACCAAGCCAAUGACGGGUAGCUGGUCUGUGAGGACAACCAGCCAGACUGGGACUGAGAACGGCCCAGACUCCUACGGGAGGCAGCAGUAAGGAAUUUUCGUCAAUGGGGGAAACCCUGAACGAGCAACGCCGCGUGGAGGAUGACGGUCUUCGGAUUGUAAACUCCUUUUAUGAGGGACGAUAAUGACGGUACCUCAGGAAUAAGCCCCGGCUAACUCUGUGCCAGCAGCCGCGGUAAUACAGAGGGGGCAAGCGUUGUCCGGAAUUACUGGGCGUAAAGAGCACGUAGGCGGUCGCGCAAGUGGUGUGUGAAACCAAUCAGCUUAACUGACUGACGCCAUGCCAAACUGCGCGACUCGAGUCAUGGAGAGGUUAUUCGAAUUGCUGGUGUAGUGGUGAAAUGCGUAGAGAUCAGCAGGAAGACCAAGGGCGAAAGCAGAUAACUGGCCAUGCACUGACGCUCAGGUGCGAAAGCGUGGGGAGCAAACUGGAUUAGAUACCCAGGUAGUCCACGCUGUAAACGAUGUAUGCUCGGUAUGUGUGCCUGUUAAGGGCAUGGGUACCUUAGGAAACCCGGUAAGCAUACCGCCUGGGAAGUACGAACGCAAGUUUAAAACUCAAAUGAAUUGACGGA
rnacentral:rRNA from 1 species